GGGGAGCUGAGAAUAAGCUUUGAUCCAUGGAUCUCUGAAUGGGGGAACCCACCUGAAAGUUCAUUAUAAUUACCUCGGUAAUUUAUAAUGUUCUUAACCAGGUACUUUUGACCUGAAUACAUAGGGUCUUAAGAGCAAACCCGGGGAACUGAAACAUCUAAGUACCCGGAGGAAAGGAAAUCAAUUGAUACUCCGCUAGUAGUGGCGAGCGAACGCGGACCAGCCAAGCCUGAUGAGUGACUAGAACCGUUUGGGAAGACGGGCCAUAGUGGGUGACAGCCCCGUAUAGGAAGCUCUGAGGGAUGUAUUAAGUAGGGCGGGACACGUGAAAUCCUGUCUGAAGAUCGGAGGACCACCUUCGAAGGCUAAGUACUCCUUACUGACCGAUAGCGAACCAGUACCGUGAGGGAAAGGUGAAAAGCACCCCGACGAGGGGAGUGAAACAGUACCUGAAACCGAACGCCUACAAUCAGUUGGAGGCCCCUUGAGGGCUGACAGCGUACCUUUUGUAUAAUGGGUCAUCGACUUGGUCUAUCUAGCAAGCUUAAGCCGUUAGGUGUAGGCGCAGCGAAAGCGAGUCUUAAUAG
rnacentral:rRNA from 1 species